rnacentral:lncRNA from 1 species
AUCCCUUCAAACCCGGUCCAGCCCCACCCUCCUAAGAACGACCCCGUUUUGCCCCAAGUGAUUCCAGUCGUUGAUCCACACGAAUCCAAUGGUUGGGAACUAAUCUUCAUUUAGCUUAUAACUGUCCGAACCAAGCAGCCCCCCCACACCCAAUAGACCCAUCUCAUUCUGUGCUUCUCACUCUCAAAGAACAAAACCUUGGCCGCCCUAAAUCCCCUCGCUGCCUCCGCGACAACCCGCCGAAAAUUGCCUCACGACGAUCUAGUGCUCCAAACUCUAUCAAAUUAAUACCAUACAAUCACCUUCCCAUUCCCAUUCCAAAUCUUCAAACUGUUUCCCUCAAAUCUUUUUCAAUCUCCUCGAGUCUUAGAUCUAAGUUUCACAAAAAACCUCUUCCUUUUCUUUUUGAUUUUCUCGGAUAGUUUCUGGGAUUUGUGAAUCCAAGACUUCCAUUAGUCAACUAUUUUUGUUAAGAACAGUUGAUUAAUGACCGUCCAAGUCCACUUUUUCCGGUUAGAUUUGGUCAAAUUCGUAAAUAGUCCCUUCCUGUAAUGAGCAUAUAUAAUUCCUCUUACUUUUCUGUUAUUUUUCUUUGGUUUGGUUUUCUUUUCCCUCUUCAUAUUCAUGUUUCUUGUUUAGCUGCAUGAUUUAUUUUGUUCAUUAGAUUGAUCAAAACAUGCUAAUACUUCAUCAUCUAAAGGUUAAUUUCAGUUUGCAAAGGUUUAUUUUAAUUAGGUCCAAUCUUUGUUGGGUUUUCGAUAAAUUGGCUAUUCUAUUUUUCUCUUAUUAUUUGUUCUAGUUCAAAGUUAAUUAGAAUAUUUUUGAAAUCGACAGUCUAUUUGGUUGAUUUUUUAUAUGCUAUUUAAAAAUAUAUAUUUUAGUUAUUUAAUUUGUUUUGAUUCAUAAACUGAUUAGUUUAGGAUUUGUUUAGUAGUUUCAUGUUAAUUUUUUGUAGAUACAUUAGUCGUUUUAAAUCUAGCUAUGUUUAGGUUUAAUUAGAUAAAUACUUUUAUUUACUAUUUAGGUUAGUCUUAGUUUAAAUUGCAUCAUUUUUCGAUUCUGUUAUUAUUUUAAUUUGCAUUCUAAUCCUUUAAUUGAUUGUUGUCUUUGUUUUCCUUAGUUUGUAAAGCGGCAGAAACUUGUAGGGGCCUAAUUGAAUUAAAAGAAGCUUAGGAUAGUUUAAAGAAAUUAUCUAAGAAAAAAAGGUUCUUGAAGUAUACAAUUGUCCAGAAUUGUUUUAAAAGAUGUUGAAAAUGGACAGUUGUCCAUUAUUCUCUGUCAAAUAGGAUAUACUAUCUAAGAAAUUUAGGGUAAAAUAUUCCUAGACACUCAUUCUCACACACAUUCAGAUUUUCAGAACCCUAAAAUACACUCUAAAAAGAUCAGCUGUUGUGUUCUUAGAAGCUGAUUCCUUUCCUCUGAUUUUAACAAAAUAAUCAAAGACCUCCUUGAUAUUUAUGGUCUUCAUAAGUUGAAAAAUAUGCUUUGAAAGUGAAGAUUUUUGGUUUUUGUGGGGUUUACUGAUGUUAGCUGCUGUAGAUGUUGGGUUUUGGUUUGAUUUGGUUGUUGUUGUUUGAGUUCUGUUGCUGCUUCACUUCUUUCAAAGCUUCAGCCAGUUCUUGUUUUUCAUAUGUUAUUUGCUGGUUUAUUUGUUGUUUGUUCAAGGUACUGAAUCCAACUCUUCUUCAUGUAAUGCUUGUUAAAAUUAUAUAAAUUUGAAGGUGCAGAAUUCAUGUGAUGAAUGAAUGUCCAUGUUUCUCCAUAUUUCUCCAUUAGAUGAAAGUUUUUGUUUAGUCCAUGUUUGAGUAUAUACAUCUUCUGUGUUAUGUAUUAGAUUUUUGCUGUAUCUGUUAGUUUUGACCAGAUUUGAUCAUUUUUUUUCUUCUAAUAAAUUAAUAUUUUGACUGACCAUAUCAUAAUCUAGUUGAUCUAGCAUAUUACUUAGAAUUCCUUCUUUCCUAGUCUUUGAUACUAUUCAUAGUGAUGUUAUCUUUGUUGAGGGGCAUCUAUUUGAGAGAUGAGAUUUCAGGUUGAAGCAAUAUUAAGGAUGUAAAUCUAACUACCAGUUGGUCAAAUUUACUCCUGAAAAGUGCAAGCACAAUGAACUUUGGCUAAAAAUGGUUGAAGUGUGGUUGGAUGCAACAUCUAAAUUCUGCAGUUGAUUAAGACUCAAUUAGAUUUGAAAGGUUGUAAUUAAUAAAACCAUGGUUUGUUAAUGUAAUUAAAUAGGUUUCGUUUGAUUUAUGAUCCCUUCCUUAUCAUUUUGGGUCAAUGUAGUUUAAAGUUGUUUAAUCAUGUAAUUUGCAAAUGAGUUAGAAGAUCUUGAUUAUCAAUGUUGGUUUAGCACUUUAAUUUUUUAAAAAUUGUGUAAUGCCUUGCUAUGUUGAAUCAAGCUUCAUAGGGCCUUAAUAUUAAAGGGCCUCUUUCUAUAAACAAUUGGGUCGGGCAUUGGCCCAGAUAAGGCAGCCUGGUAGAACCAGGGUCAAAGAGUCUCGCUCAUGUCUUCUUUUCUUUUCUUUAGCUCAAUGUCGAGCCCAUCUGCCUUCAAUAGGUUUAUCCAUUAAGUCUUCUUUUAUUGUUAUUGUUUGUUCUAGUACAAUAAAAAGAGGACUUCUAUCACUAGAAGUUUAUUUGUUAAAAAGAUGGAGCUUUGUAUUUGGCCCAAUUAGAGCUAUGGUGGCCGCUUCACCUUUGUUCUUGGGCUCAAUCUUGAGCCCAGCUCCCAUCAACCGCAGUUCUUUUAGAGAACCCUUUUGAAAGAAAACGUAUUGGGCUGGCUGCAGGCCUACUUUUCUUUAAAUAUAAGCCAAGUUAGCCUACCAAAAGCGAAUUUGAACAAAGAAAAUUUAGAAUGUUUAGCUUGGCAUGUUGCGUGGUUUAAUUAAUAAAUUGUUAAUAGCUGAAUAUAAUCCAUAGAUCUUAAGACAAAUUAAGGUGAGCCAUUCACAAGAAAAAUCCGUAACCCAUGGCCCCCACAUUAAUACCAAUUAGUGUAAAAGAUGCUUUUGAACAUUCAUAAUUAGUUAAGAAAAUACUUUGAAUACUUCGUAGUUUGCUUUACGCGCGUUAGUAAUAAAAUCAUCAUAGCUACGGGCACUGUUCAUGUGAUGUAGUUGUGAUACCUAAUUCUCAAAUUUUGGGGUACAUUUAUGUGACCCGGUCACAAUUCUAAUAGCUUUAAUAAAUUAAACAUAUUGUAGAUCGUGGGUACAAUUCCCGUGACACAAUUCGCAAUGUGUAUCAAACAAACAACUAUACGAUAAUUGAUUUAAAACAUAUAGUAAAUCAGAUAAUAGGACAAGUAUUAACAGUUUAAGCAACCAUGCUAGUACCACAGAACCCAGGAAUGCCUAACACCUUCUCUCGGAUUAACAGAAUUCCUUACUUAAAAUUUCUAGUUCGCAGACUUUUAAAUAAAGUCGAAAUUUUCUUCAUUUGAGAUUUAAAAUAAACCGGUGACUUGGGACACCAUAAUAAAUAUUCCAAGUGGAGACUCUAAUUUUAAAUAAAAUAAUGUCAUUUCGAUUUAUGUCACUUUAAUUGAAAAAACUCUCUUAUAUUCUCCCUCGGGUGGUGAAAAGACCAUCCUGAUGUAUCUUACAUGCUACUUGUACAAUUAUUUGCCUUGAUUUGCAUGUUAACCGAUUUCUAAAAUAGGAAAAAAAUUUGGAAAAGUCAAAUUGAGGUAUGAGAGAGAUAAUUACCCGUUUUUGAAAAACGUUUUUUACCAAAAUAUACUGAAACUCUGUCGAUUUUUUUUUUUAAAAAAGAGAGAGAGAGAAAGGAGAAAAAAAAGAGUAAAUAGAAAAAUAUUUAAAAAAUUUCAUGUUUUUCUGUUGCAUCAAAACUAACCGAAUUGUGGGGGUUUGAUUUUCACUAGACAUGGGAUACAUAGGCAACCCUCAACGGGUCCAGCCCCUCCUUUUGCAAAAAACCCAAAUAUUUGAAAAAAAAAAUUGUCUUUGUUGUCAUAAAUAAAGUGGGUGAUGCUCUUUUUUGUCUAAAUAGCCGAACUUCCCAAAUGGCUGGAAGGCCAUUUUUGCAAGAAUAGCCACCAGCGGUUUCUUUGCCAACUUUUGGCCACCUAUUAAGUACAAUCGUAAAAUCUUCUCUUUCGAUGUGUUAAAGUGUCUGUGUUUAUUUAACCUCAGAAUUUUGUAAAAAUGACCCCUUUUAUCAAUUUUAAUAAAUUUCACUUUGUUUUAAAUCAAUCAUUUUAAUCUAAAUGUGCAGAAUGGACAUGAGUCAAAAUUUAUCAAUGACGGUUAUGACCAAGAUUUCGUUGGAACUAUAUGUGUUGUCAGAGGAUCUGGAUAAUCAAGGACGAGACAGGGUCAACCAUUACUUGGGGGUGCUCACCGGAUUAUUACAGAUCAGGCAUAGGGGAGACAUAAUAAAAGCACUGGUGACAUUUUGGGACCCAUCUCACAACGUUCUGCAUUUUUUAGACUUCGAACUCACACCUACUUUAGAGGAGAUAGCGGGUUAUGCUGGGAGUAUCGAGAGUUUAAGACAUAAAUACCUGGUUGCUCCAAGGAUCGUCACCCCUUACAUGUUUCUAGAUUUGUUAAAAAUAAGCAGGCAGGUCCAGUAUGCAGACUUGGCAAGUAGGUUUUCCACUCUAUUCUUCAUAUACUAGCGGUACGGGCAUGUAAGAGGAUUUGACAAUUCGGAAAGUGGAAUCUGUAACAAAGAUAAUCGGUCAAAGUGGGAAGAGCAUAGAUGCUUCGAUUUCAUGGUGGGAUUCUUAGGUCUUCUAGUGUUUCAUAGGGAGGACGUGAAUAUUGUCCUGCAGGUGGCUAGAGUCGUCAAUGUCUUGAUUACUAGUGCCAAGAGCACCCUCGCCACUAUGAUAGUAUCUGAGAUAUUCCAAGCUCUCACGGUUUGCAAAGCCGGGGAAUAUUUUUUCGAAGGAUGCAACUUAAUAUUACAAAUAUGGAUAAUUGAACAUCUAUGUCAUCGGCCUCGAUAUAUGAGUUAUGGAUCUACAGGGAAAAGCUGCAUUGAGGAUUUCGACACUAAGGUUUUAGGGUUUAAAUACCAGAACGGAUUGGAGAUUGGAUACCCAUUUUCGUUCCACUACUGCAGGGCCGAUAGAAUAGAUGUUGGGUUGGCUUCAUGCUGAAGAAAUUGUGUACAUGCCUACCACCGGUCCUUACUUCUUGCUAAUGGGCCUUCAAGGCAUCCAACCUUAUGCCCCAUACCGGGUGUUGAUAUAGUUAGGAAUAUGUCAGGUAACCCCAAGACGAAGUACUCAGUGUUCAUGUAGUUGAGAUCCGCUCUGAUUGUCAAUUUCAUGAAGAAGUGGUUCGUCAUAUUUUGAAUGAGUGCCAAUAUUGGACAGCAAACACCCAAGUACGUGACCGAUCUAGAGGCAAGGUCUUGCCUGGUUAUCUUGCUUGGUAUAGAAAGAAGUUCAUUGCAAGGGUCGAAAGGCCAACCAAAAGACCUCACAUCCAGGAAUUUGUUGAAGUGUCGUAAGAACAAUGGGCCAGGUUGACCAAAGAAUAUGAAUAAAUGGCCACCAUAAGCCAGAUGCAAGGGCAAAUGAGGGAUAUUAAAUUUGAUAAUGGUUUACAAGCCGCUGCAGAUGAGGGUGAAAAUAAGAAGUUGGACCAAGAAAAUAAAUUUCUCUGAGACCAGAUUCAAAGAAUGAAGAUAGCUGUUGAGAAUCUGAAAGGAGCCAAACAGAUGAAAUACUCAUAAAUGGUCUUAGGAGGAAAGUAUGUGAGUACUGGAAUGAUUUGGAAAAUUUUAAGGGUAGUCUGGCGUGAGCCCGGGCACAGUUGGCGAAGAACGCACAAGGACGUGCAGAGUUUGUUCAGCAUUUAAAAGGGAAAUAUGAUAGAGAAGUCGUAAAUCUGAAGAAAAAGCUAGCUACCCUCGAGAAUGAAAUGGCUAAACAGAUAAAGAACUUUAAAGAAGAGAGGGAAUAUUGUUAUGCACUGAUGUCUCGGCUGGAAGAAGACAUGCAACAGUUGCAGGUUCAAAGCCAUCAUGACACCCAAGUUUUGGAAGCUAGUUCUCAACAAAUUGGACGACUGCUCCAAGAGAAAGGCAUCAUUAGGGAAAAAGGUUAGAACAAUUGUUGACUACGUCGUCAUGAAAUGGCAUGAAAGCGAGGAUAUGACUAGAUCCACCUUCUUUUCCGUGGUAAAGACUGUUGUUCACAGGAUAAUAUAUGACCUGGAUCAUCUCCAAGAAGAUCUUGCACGUCACUUGCAGCGACACCGAUUGAUGUCCCGCGGUCCUUUAGAGUAGUUUUGGAAUCCCUUAUAUAUUCUUGAUUUUCUUUUCGAGUAUGUAUUUCUGUUUCCAUUUCUAGAGUCUAUUUCAGAUUUUCAAUUCUUAGGAAGGUAUGAUGGAGUCGUUGUAAUAAAGAAAGUUAAAAGUUUUUAUUUUGAUGAAAAAUUUGAGAAAAAAACCAAAUUUAUUUCUUUCUUUUAUUAGUCAUUUAUUCCUUGAACAACUUGAUGAUCGGAUUCACGAGUGUCGUGAUACGUAGGCAAUCCCCAUAGGAUCUUGUCAUGGUUUUAGAUAACUCAAAUGAAAAAGAAAAUGACAAAAAGAGAAAACCAAAAAAAAGAAGAGAAAACAAGAAUAAGCGAGCAAACAAGAAUAAGAGAGAAAACAAUGCAGGAAAGUCAGUGCAAAGAAAAGAGAGCAAAUAAUGAAAAGCGCGAAAAAGAAAAGAAAAAUGCAAAGAUCUGGGAGAUAGACAAAAGCCGAGAUGAGACAUGCAACUAUUGCAAAACAUGUAGAAAACCAUUUAACUGUCUAGGUGCAUUGCAUUCCCAAUAUGAAAUACCCUAUGUGUUAAUUGUAUCAAGCUAAUCCUUUUUUAUGUAUGUUGUUAAGACCGGGUUCUUUUUUUAAGUUAGGUUGUUUUGCGGUAAACUGGCUUCACACCCUCACUUUACAAGAUCCAAGGGAAGUGUCGAAAUAUCGUCAGAAAGUCAUCUACCAACAAUUCUCAUCUCAGAGGAUAGCUUGAUGAUGGUUAUCCCAACAUCAGGGUCAAUGGCUGCUGAAGAGAAUAGGGCCUUGCGCCUCCGCAUGUUGAAAAUAUGGGACGCUUGGUAUAAAGGUAGAUUGACGCCUAGUGUAAUAGCUGGUUUACCCGAGCUGCUUCCCCGGAUAAGUGGAACCUCCAAAAUCCAUAUAAGUUACCGGACACUCCACUCGGAUACCCCACCAUGUCAUCCCAUUUCGUUCGAACGCUUUCUGAGAUUCGCCCCCAAUCACUGAUUUCGAGAGUGGAUUCUAACAUAUUCACCGCACCACCAACCUUGACUACAACACAACCAACUUUGCCUAGGCCAAGCUUCAAGCUGUCAUCCUAUACUUUCUAAAUACCACCAUUUCCCAUUGAUACAACUCAUUUAACCACAAACUCUUACCAUCAAAAACCUAGGUAUGAGUUCACUGCAGGAUAAUAGAUAACAGUAAAUAAUCCCGAGCAGGAGGAAUCACUCGAAAAAUGAAGAGCAUGGAGCAAAGCCUCAAGAACAUACAAGGCAUGAGUGGCCAGAAUAGUGUAUUCUACGCUAACUUGUGCAUGUUCCCACAUGUUCAUCUACCCGUCGAUAUCAAAACUCCCAAGUUUGUGAAAUAUGCUGGACAUGGGGACCCCAUAGCUCACCUGAAGAGAUAUUGCAACCAUUUGAGGGGAGCUGGCGUAAAAGAAGAGCUCCUAAUGGAUUACUUUGGGGAGAUUUUAGUUAGAAUUGCAUCUGAAAUGUAUAUGGAUAAGGACAUUUCCUGCUGGCACAUAUGGAAUGACUUGGCCCGAGGACUUUGUCAGACAAUUCCAGUACAACAUGGACAUAGCUCCAGAAAGAAACUCUUUGUCCAAUUUCAAAAAAAAAGUCUUUGGAGAGCUUUCGAGAGUAUUCUGUCAAGUGGCGUGAACAAGCUUCCAGGUUGAAACCCUCGAUGGAUGAGUCCGAGAUGGUAGGUGUCUUUUUGCAAGCUCAAGAGGCUGAUUAUUUCCAGAACAUAAUGCAUGCUAUGGGAAAGCAAUUUGCUGAGGCUAUCAAAAUUGGGGAGAUGGUUGAAAACGAUUUGAAAAUAGGGCGCAUCCUGAGCCAGUCAGCUAUAAGAGCUACUUCUCAAACAAUCAAAAGCGGAUCAGGGGGUGUAGCAAACUAAAAGAAGAAUGAAAAAGUUGAAAUUAUGGCCUCAUGUCUGAGAAAUCCCCAUAAACCCCGAGGUUACUUUAGUUCCCCUUCAAAUACCCCGCAACAUUAUUACCCUCACCAAGAUGCACUUAUGCCAUGACUCUUUGUCCUUAUACGGUGAUGAAUGCCCAGGCAUAUGCUCGGCCACAACAACAAUAUAACCAAUACCGAGCUCUACCUCCUAGAAAUAACCCUCCUUACCAAGCUGCAUAUAAUUCCCGUCCCCCAAGGAUAAAUUUGCCAUAUAAUGCUCGUGCCUGUGAGCCGCAUAGAAAAACCAACUUAACGCCCAUCGGUGAAUCAUACUCUAGCCUCUUCCCUAAGUUGGUCCAAAUGGGUUUGUUGCAACUCGUACCUCUGAAUAGGAAAAACCCAGAGUCACCCUCCUACCAACCCGGUACCCGAUGUUCUUAUCAUUCAGGGGCAGAAGGGCACGAUAUUGAGGGUUUAACCCAUUGCCAGCUCAUAACAACAUGCCAAUUAUUGGGAUGAUUUGUGAGGAUAGAUAGUUUGACCCGGCUUUAAAAGCUAUCAUUACUAUUGUCGGUGUUGAAAAAAAUCCAAAAGCGAUGGCAAAGCAAGUCAAUGGGAAGAAUAAGAGCAACUUCGCUCCUGAAAACAUAGAAAAGACCAUGGAAGCCAAAACAGAAGCAGUACCUCCUAAUGAUGCCAUUCUUUAUGUUCCUAGGGCACCCACAAAAGAAUGGUUUGUAUUGAGUCCCCCAAAAGGUAUGAUUUAAACAAGGGUUCUAAGAUGUACGUACCAAAGAGGACAUAUGUGGCGCGAGGGCCAGUAAUUUCACCCAUGAUGAAUGGGCCUGUGGUUAUUAGCCGUGCAUCACAGAAGCCUAUGAAGGACCCCACUGCAAUCCCCUGGAACUACAACAAAGUAGUGGUGAAUACAAGGAAAAAGAAAUCAAGGGGGAAGUGAAUGAAACAAACCCCUAUGGUAAAUACCUCAACUUGGAGGAAUUGAAUAAAACCAAACAGAAGUGUUUUUCGCUCAAAAAGCCAGUCAAUGCUGAGGAGGCAGAGGAAUUCUUCUGAAAGAUUAAAGUCUUGGACUACGAUGUAAGUGACCAACUCCGAAAGUCUCUCUCUCAGGUCUCACUCUUUUCUCUACUGAUAAGCUCGAAUGAGCAUAAGAAAGUGUUGAUAAAGACCCUUAAUAAAGACUAUGUUCCGAUCGAAACCACUAUUGAGCAACUUAAAAGAGUGGCAGAAUGAUUUUUUGAAGUAAACUAAUCUCAUUCAGCUGAAAUGACAUGCCAUUGGAAGGGGCUGCCCAUAAUAAAACUCUUCAUUUUAUCAUUAAAUGUGAAGGAUACUAUGUGAAAAGAGUUAUGUUGGAUGGCGAAUCUGGGGUUGACACUUUCCCUCUCUCGACCUUAUAGAGAAUGGAAAUUGGGACUGAAAGAAUUAGGCCCAACAAUUUUUGUGUACACGCUUUUGAUGGCGUCAAGAGAGAUACAAUAGGGGAGAUUGAUUUGAUCCUAACUAUCAGUCAUGUAGAUUUUUAAGUGACAUUUCAGGUUUUGGACCUGGACACAUCCUACAACUUUCUCCUAGGAAGGCCUUGGAUCCAUGUUGCAGUGGCCCUACCUUCUACUCUCCAUGAAAUGGGUAAGUUUGAACCUAAAGACCAGGAAAUCAUGCUCCACGAAGUAGACGAGCAAUCAAUUUACAGGGACCCGUUAGUCAUAUGUAUGGAGGCUAAGGAAGGUAGCGAGCACAUAGUCUACCAAGCUUUUGAGAUUGUGGUCGCGGAUCAGUAUGAGUAAGGAACCCUGUGUCCUCAACCAUUUUUGUCAAAUGCGUCAAUCAUGGUCGCCACUGAAAUGAUCAAGCACGGUUACAAUCCCCGGAAAGGGCUCGGGGUAUCUUUGCAAGUAUCAUAGAAUCUAUUACUUUAGCUACCAAUGAGAAAUUCUUCGAUGUGGGUUUCCAAACCACAGAAACUGAUGUGACAUGGGCUAAUCAACAAAAGAGCAAUGGUAGGGUCUUGCCUCAGGCAGUCCCUCAUCUCUGCAAAGUAUUUGUCAAGCCAAGAUAUAUAGAGAAAGAAGAUGAGGCCUUCACGGUCGAAGAAAUUGAGCACAUAUAUAGAGCAAUGAGGCACACAUGGUCCAGCCGGGUGAAGGAUCAAGCACUGUUGAGGUGCAAUAUAUGGGGCUCGAUGCCAAGAUGCAAAAUUAGAAGGCUACUCUGUUCCCAGUCGGGAAUCCUGAUAGUUCCGUCUUGCCAUCUUUUUUGCAUUUCGAGUUAUUUCAGGAUGUAACACGAAUGUUUUUUUGUAUAUUGUCUUUGAAAUUCCAAUGUAAACCCUUCUACCUUCAAAUUAAAUGGAAUGAAAUCAAUAUAUCAUCGUCUAUGAAUCUCUCUCCUUAUUCUUUCUGAUUUAUGUUAUUUUUCUUAUUUCCUCUUUUAGUUCUAAUAAUGCAGACUGAAAUAAUACGAAAUGCUUGUGGACUUCAUGCCCAGAUCCUAACACGUUGUCUAACUGUAAAAUAAUAAACCAAGAACUAAAAUACGAUGAAGAUGAGGAUUUUAGGAAAAUAAAUCGAGAACUAGAACAAUUUGAGAAUAAGCAUAAGUCAAACUUAAAUGAAACUGAGCCAAUUAAUUUGGUAGUUUGGAAGAGGUAUAGGAAACCAUGAUAAGCAUUCACACUAAUGAAAGAACUAGGGAUGCAUUGAUCCAACUUUUGUUUAAAUUCAAAGACGUGUUUGCCUAAUCCUAUGAUGAUAUGCCAGGACCUUUUUUUUUCUCAACCUUUUUUUUAUAUGCCAGGACUGAGUGUUGAUUUAGUGGUGCAAAAAUUGUCAACCUACCCCGAUUAUCCCUCUGUCCAACAAAAAUAGCGAAAGUUUAAAACCAACAUUAGUUACAAGACCAAAGAAGAAGUCACCAAACUGUUAAACACGAGAGUAAUCCGAGUGGUCCGAUACACCACAUGAUUGGCUAAUGUGGUCGCAAUGCCAAAGAAAGAUAGGAAAACUCGAGUGUGUUUUGACAUCGGGAUUUGAACAAAGCAAGCCCCAAGGACAACUUCCCCUUACCAAGCAUCCACAUACUUGUUCCUUGCACGGUCCUAUGAUGUAUGCCAGGAUCGAGUGUUGAAUGGUGCACAAAUUUCAAACUUACUCCGACUAUCUCCUUGUCCAACAAAAUAGAGAAAGUUUAAAACCGACAUUAAUGACAAGAUCAAAGAGGAAGUAACCAAAUAGUUAAAAGCAAGUGUAAUUCGAGGGGUCCGAUACACCACAUGGUUAGUUAAUGUGGUGCCAGUUCCAAAGGAAGAUGGAAAAACCUGAGUGUGUGUUGACUAUCAGGAUCUGUACAAAGCAAGUCCCAAGGACAACUUCCCGUUACCAAAACAUCCACAUCCUUGUUGACAACUGUGCCAAACGUGAGAUACAUUCUUUUGUGGAUUGUUAUGCUGGAUAUCAUCAGGUCUUGAUGGAUGAAGAAGAUGCAGAAAAGAAGGCUCUCAUAAUACCUUGGGGUACUUACUAUUAUAGGGUCAUGCCUUUUGGUUUGAAGAAUGCCGGGGCAACUUAUAUGAGAGCUAUGACUAUCAUCUUUCACGACAUGAUGCACCAAAAAAUUGAGGUGUAUGUGGAUGAUGUGAUCAUUAAAUCAAGAAUGCAGCACAAUCAUGUGCGGGACCUGAGAAAGUUCUUUGAGCGUCUGCAUAAGUAUGACUUGAAAUUAAAUCUGGAAAAAUGUACAUUUGGGGUAAACUUUUAGGGUUUAUAGUCAGUCGGAGUGACAUCAAGUUAAAUCCAACAAAGAUAAAGUCUAUUCGGGAUUUGCCGCCUCCGAGAACCAUGAAAGAAGUUAUGAGUCUGUUGGGAAGAUUAAAUUACAUUAGCAGAUUCAUCGCUCAGUUGACUUCUAUGUGUGAGCCCAUAUUUAAGCUGUUGAAGAAAGAUGCGACGAUUAGAUGGACAAAUGAAUGUCGGGAGGCUUUCGACAAAAUCAAGGAAUAUUUGUCGAAUCCGCCCGUGUUGGUCCCACCCGAGCCGGGGAGGCCUUUAUUCUUGUACUUGAUAGUGUUGGAGAAUUAUUUUGGAUGUGUCCUUGGGCAACAUGAUUUGAUUAGGAAGAAAGAAAAAGCCGUAUACUACUUGAGCAAGAAGUUUACUAGUUAUGAAUCCAAAUACACUUUGUUGGAAAGAACUUGAUAUGCCCUAACUUGGGUUGCUCAGAAGCUUAGGCAUUACUUGUUGGCCUACACCAUCUAUCUCAUCACUAGAUUGGAUCCUUUGAAGUACAUAUUCCAAAAGCUGAUGCCAACGGGAAGGUUAGCAAAAUAGCAAAUCCUGCUCAACAAGUUUGACAUAGUGUGUGCCACCCGCACGACAAUGAAAAUUCAAGCUUUGGCAUAUCACCUAACUGAGAAUCCAGUUGAUGAUGAAUAUCAGCCUUUGAGUACUUGCUUUUUGGACGAGGAAGUAAAUUCAGUUAAAGUAAUUAUAGAAGACGCCAAUGCUUGGAGAAUGUUCUUCGAUGGAGCUGCGAAUGCAAAAGGUUUCGGAAUUGGGGCAAUUUUGAUAUCACCCACUGGUCAGCACUAUUUGGCCAUAACCCGGCUUCAGUUUCUUUGCACUAACAAAACUACCGAGUAUGAAGCAUGCAUUAUGGGCAUGAAUAUGGAAUUCGAUCAGGAUGAUGAGGAAUUGCUAAUCAUGGGAGAUUCUGACUUGAUUAUUCGAUAAGAUCAAGGUGAAUGGGAAACUCGAGAUGUCAAGCUUAUUCCAUAUAGGCAACAUGUCGAGGAUCUUAGCAAGCGGUUCAAAUCCGUCGAGUUCAGCUACAUUCCUCAAUUUCAUAAUGAGUUAGCCAAUACACUAGCUACUUUAGCCUCGAUGCUUCCAUAUCCAGGCAAUGUCCACAUUGACCCAUUGGAUAUCCAAACUUGAGAAAGGCAUGAUUAUUGUGUCGCAUUUGAAAUAGAGCCAUAUGUUCAGUCAUGGUAUCAUGAUAUCAAAAGAUUCUUGAAAAUAGAGGAAUAUCCCGAGCAAGCCAGUGGAGACUAAAAGAGAACCAUUAGAAGGCUCGCCAAUAGUUUCUUUCUGAGCGAAUAAGUCUUGUAUAAAAGGACUCUGUAUUUGAAUCUUUUAAGAUGUGUGGAUGCCCAGGAGGCGGGCAGAAUCAUGAAUGAAGUGCACAUAGGAGUGUGUGGUCCCCAUAUUAACGGAUAUAUCUUUGCAAAGAAACCCUGCGAGUAGGUUAUUACUGGAUGACCAUGGAAAAUGACUACUUCAGUUUUGUCCGAAUAUGUCAUAAGUAUCAAGUACAUGGUGACUUGAUUCAUACACCGCCUUCAGAACUACAUCCAUCACCACGGCCCUUUGUGGCUUGGGGUAUGGAUGGUAUUGGGCCAAUCAAGCCAAAAGCUUCAAAUAGGCACAGAUUCAUUUUAGUUGCCAUCGACUAUUUCACAAAGUGGGUUGAAGCAAUCACUCUAAAAGCCGUCACCUAGAAAGCAGUGGUUGACUUCAUGUAUUCCUAAAACUAUAUUUACAAACAAUGCUAUAAAUUUAUAUAGUCAUUUGAUAAGAGUGGUAUGUGAAUAAUUUAAGAUCACGCAUUGAAAUUCCACCUCGUGUUGACCCAAAGCUAAUGGUGUUGUCAAAGUAGUGAACAAAAACGUCAAGAAGAUUCUUAGGAAAAUGAUUCAAACUUCUAGAUAAUGGCAUGAAAAGUUGGCUUUUGCAUUGUUGGGAUAUCGCAUAACUGUGCGCAUAUCGGUUGGAGCAACACCCUAUCUAUUGGUUUAUGGCACUGAAGUUGUAAUUCCCGUAGAAUUUGAAAUUCAAUCUCUUCGAAUCAUCGUUGAAGCUGAGAUUGAGGAUAAUGAGUGGGUCAAAACCCAUCUAGAAUAGUUAAAACUAAUUGAUAAAAAAAGAAUGGCUGCAAUGUGCUACGAGCAGUUGUAUCAACAAAGAAUGGCUCGUGCCUACAACAAGGAAGUGCAGCCUAGGAACUUUGAAGUGGGGCAACUCGUUUUGAGACGUAUUCUUCCACAUCAGAAGGAAGCAAAAGGAAAGUUCGCUCCAAACUGGAAGGGUCCGUUCAUUAUAAGAAAAUUGUUGCCAAAAAGGGUAUUGCACUUGGGAGACAUUGAAGGGAAUGACCCUGAAACAACUGUCAAUGCAAAUGCGGUCAAAAGGUAUUAUGUUUAUCCCUUCUACAGUACAGAUAUUCUCCGAUUAGGAUAUUGAAGGCUUUCAUUCUCUCUACCCAAACACUUUUAACCAUUUGCUAACCAUUUGAGCUGGUUACCCUCUUUUGGAACCCGGUUUGUGGAAAAAAGAAUAAAAAGGUCCAUGAACUACGUUCUGCUUAAUUCUGAAAGGAUACAUAGGCAGCCUCUCCAUGGGGUUUAGUCACACCAAAACAAAUAUACAUAUUCCCCAAUGUUGAAACUAGACAGAAUUUAUAUUGGUUUGGUGACUGUUUGCCUAAAAGGUUCAAAGUUGUAAUUCAAUCCAAACUCUUUUUACCCUAAAUUGUAUUCAAAGUCCUUCUGAUCAAUCGGUAAAGAUGUUCAAAAUGGGAGGAUGUUCGUUAUUUGGAUAUGAUACAAUCAAAUGAGAGAAACAAAAUGAGAGAGUUUUAUUGGUGAAAACUCACACGGGCAUCGUAAGGCGAUGGCGAGCAAAGAAAAUGAAAAACGAGAGAUUCUUGUUAGUGAAAACUUGCAAAUAACACUAUAAGGCAACGACAGGGAAAGAAAUGAGAGAGGUUAGUUAGUGAAAACCUGUAAAGGCCGCUACUGAUCGAAAAAAGGAUCACUUAUAAGCAUCUGCACUGAAAGAGUCCUGACAAGAUUUCUCAGUUUUUAGUUAUGAGCUAUGAUGGAUUUAUUAGAGUUGGAUGGUUUGCACGGAUCGGGUAUCCAGUCUAAGAAGUGUGUCAUGUCUAUUGAAGUCUGGAUGCAACUCUAGAUAAGUCUUUUUUCCUUUCUAUGAAAGGGACACUGCUCAUUUAAAUUCAUUAUCCUGCCUGUUGUUUACUUUUCUUUGAACCCCUUUCGGUCUAAUACUCAUCCGAAACUAAUACAAAGAAAAGAUGACAAGAUUGGUUUUACAGGUUUUUGUUUGGCGAAAGUUAAAAUUCAAGAAAAGCACCCAACCUCAACAGGUGCAUCAAGUCGAUCUCGACUGGCCAUGGUGGUCUGUGCUCUAGAAUCAAAAGUUUUGAAAAGGAAAGAAAUCCAAAGUCAAGUGUCCAUAAAGGCAAAAUAAGAUGAAAAGGCCAAGCCUCACACGGGAUAACCAUCAUCUGGAAUUUCGGAAAGUCAAAAUCCCUGGGUAAUUUCUAGAAAGCCAGCAAGAAAUGGAGAUUUUCAUUGAAAGAGUUGGACCGAGACCAAGUGAUCAAAACAAUCAAGGCCACAAAUUCAACUAUCGUUUUACACUGACAAACUGUUCUUUGAUUUGAAAGUAGGAAAAUAGGUGCAGUCCAAAAUAACCUUGCAAGAAGCAGGGGCAAUAAAAGCAAGGUGCGUAGAAACCAAAACAGUUAUGCAUCAAAAGUUGACCCGGAAAGGAAAGUCCCUUUUUAAACUCUUCAUUCAUUCAUUCUCCUAAAUAAAAUUAAAAGUGAAGUAAAAAUGGGAAGAAAAAAAAGAAAGAAUAAAAAGAAAGAAGUAAAGAAAACGAAGAAGAAAAAUCCAAAAAUCAUGGUAGCCUAGGAUCCCCAGUGUCUAGCUACGUUUUUCCAACAUAGGAUCCCAUUCCCUAGUCGCUACCAUCAUAACCUAAUAGUAUAUUCCAGUAUAGGGUCCCACUCCCUAGUUGAUUCUCGGCACAAACUCGUAUAUUCCAGUAUAACCCGAAGACUUUCCUAGCAUAACCCAUGGACCUUUUCCGGUACAACUCGAUGACUUUUCCGGUAUAACCUGUGGAUCUUUUCCGGCAUAACCUGAUGGUUUUUCAGCAUAACCCGUGGACCUUUUCCGGCAUAACCCGAGGACUUCCCCGACAUAAUCCGUGAACAUUUUCCGGCAUAAUCCGAUGACUUUUUUGGCAUAACCCCUAAACCUUUUCUGGCAUAAACGGAUGACUUUCCCGGCAUAACUCGUGGACCUUCUUCGGCACAACCCGAUGACUUUUCCUGCAUAACCCCUAGAUCUUUUCUGGCAUGAGCGAUGACUUUCCCGACAUAACCCCUGGACCUUUUUCGGUAUAAUCCGAUUACUUUCCCGGCAUAACCCGUGGACCUUUUUGUUAUAAUCCGAUGACUCUCCUAGCAUAACCCGUGGUCUUUUCCGAUAUAACUUGAUGACUUUUCCGGCAUAACCCGAGGACCUUUCCGGCAUAACCCGGUCAGUUUUCCAGCAUAACCUGGUAAUUUUCCCAAUUUAAGGCCUCUGAUCCCUAUUUGAUUUAAUUUUGGAUAUAGGGCUCCACUCCCUAAUCUCUUUUCUCCCGAGGAUACACAAUCCUGAUUUUAUUGCUUUCAAUAAAGAAGUAGCUUAAAUUUUUAUUGCAAUAACUCACGAAAUUUUCCUAGUAAAAACUUGGGCAGAAAAAUUUCGUUCGUUUGUUUGUUUUUAGUGCCUGAACAUGUUUUUUUACCAUAUGGCACGAGAUUUAGAUGACCAAAAGAAGAAGUCUCAAUCCAAAUAAAAGAAAAAGAAAACAAGAAAAGAAGUUGAACUCUAAGUAUAGUAGCGGAGAAAAGAUGUGAACUGCUCAAGAUAUGAUUGAAGUCACAAGCUUUGCAUGUCCCGCCUUGAUCUGACAAGCUGAAGAAGAAUGAAUCAGUGAUUGCACCUAACGAGCAUCGAGAUUCAGAUUAGAGUCAGCAAGAAGAACCAGCCAAGACUCAAGAUCAAGCUUUAGAAGUUUUAUUGAUAGGAAUCUUGUAACUCAUAGUUGAUAAGUUUAGCUAGUUUAAAUUUUUAUCUUUUAUCUUGGUGUUAUGAGGAGCUUAGCAAGCAAACAUAGCAACAACAAUAGUGAAAUCACAGUUUUCGGUAGUUCCAGCUACUAAAACAUCCUGAAUUACACUGAUCCGAUUUCUUUAUAGCAAAGGAUAUGUAGGCAACCUCCGAAGCAAGAUUCGGUCAGAAUAUUUCCAAAAAAUGCUUCCUAUGGAGUUUCAAAUUGGAAAAAAUCGCUCCUAAUUGCUCACUUUAUCUUUGCCCGAAAACCCUUCGUGUUUUCGAGCAAAAAGGUGCAGCUGUGAACAUGCGAUUUUUGCCCAAUUUGAAAUACUCUUUUAAAAAAUAAAGAAGAUAGAUUUUUUCUAAAUUAUUGGCAAUUUCAUAGGAUUGAUGAAGGAUUUUUUAUUAAUUGUUUGCAUUUUGUGCACAUUUAAUUUUAUUAAAAUCACAUGAAAAAAUAUCAAAAAUAUCGUACGUUGCAUUGAAAUUAUGUUACCAUAUUUUUAGGAUUAAAUAGUUAAUUAGUUACUUUAUUAAGAUGAAAAUCUCAAAAAUUGGUUCAUUUUUACAUUUUAGCUUUCAAUUUUAGAUUAGUAAUUUUUUCUUUAUAAAUUUAGAAUUAACUAAUUUUUAUAAUAUUUUUAAUUUGAUAAUUAGCUUAAUUUUACAACUUAGAUUAACUUAGGAUUUUAACUAAUUAGAGAAACGAAAAAGGAAACAAAAGGGAAAAUAAGGAAAAAGAAAUUGAAAGAAUGAUUUAAUUUGAAAUUGGGCCCAAUUGUAAUGUCCUAAUCUGCCUGGUCCGACCCAGCCGAAUCCCUUUAAGAACAAUUCAGACCCACCCUUCUAAAAAUGACCCCGUUUCUUUCCACGUGAUCUCAACUGUUGAUUUAUACGAAUCCAACGAUUGGCUUCUGAUCUUCAUUUAGCUUAGAACUGUCCGAUCCGAGCCCCCUUCCCUAAUAGACCCCUCUCAUUUUCCGUCUCUCACUCUCAAAGAACAAAUUCAUAGCCGCCCUAAAUCCCCUCACCACCUCCGUUAUUGACCACCCACCAAAAAUUUCCUCACGGUAGCUCCGGUGCUCCAAACCCUAACAAAUUAACCCCAUACAAUCACCUUCCCAUCCCCUUUCCAAAUCUCCAAACCGUUUCCUUCAAAUCUUUUUCAAUCUCCUCGAAUCUUAGAUCUAAGUUUCACAAAAAACCUCAUCUUUUUCCUUUUGAUCUUCUCGAGCAGUUUUUGGGAUUUGUGAACUAAAGACUUCGUUAGUUAACUAUUCUUGUUAAUAAAAGUUAAUUAAUGGUCGUUCAAGUCCACUUUCCCCAUUAGAUUUGGUCAGAUUCGUAGAUAAUCCCUUCCUGUAACGAGUAUAGGUAAUUCCUCUUACUUUUCUAUUAUUUUUCUUUGCUUUGGUUUUCUUUUCCCUCUUCAUGUUCAUGUUUCGUGUUUAGCCGCAUGAUUUAGGGAUUUUAUCUUUCUUUUUUAAACGUUAGUUGUUUGCUUAAAUUUUGUUCAUUAGAUUGAUAAAAAUAUGCUAAGACUUCAUCAAAUUUUCAUUGGUUUAUUUUAAUUAGGUCUAAUCUUUGUAGGGUUUUCGAUAAAUUGGCUACUCUAUUUUUAUCUUGUUGUUUGUUCUAGUUCAAAGUUAAUUAGAAUGAUUCUGAAAAUUGGUCAACAUUUGGUUGAUUUUAUUAGCUAUUUAAAAAUAUAUAAUGUAGUUAAUUAAUUUAUUUUGAUUCAUAAACUGAUUAGUUCAGAUUUUUUUGCAGUUUGAUGUUAUUUUUUUGUAGAUGCAUUAGUCGUUUUAACUUCAUUUUUGUUUGGGUUUAAUUAGAUAAAUACUUUUAUUUACUAAUUAGGUUAGUCUUAGUUUAAAUGGCAUCAUUUCGAUUUUGUUACCACUUUAAUUUGCAUUCUGAUCCUUUGAUUAACUGUUGUCUUAUUUUUAUUUUGUUUGUAAAAGUAGAAACAGAUAGGGGCCUAAUUGAACUAAAAGAAGAUUAGGACAGUUUUCAAAAAAAUAUCUAAGAAAAGAAGGUUUUAGAAGUAUACAGCUGUCCAGAAUUAUUUUAAAAGAUGUUGAAUAUGGACAACUGUCCAUUGUUCUCUGUCAAAUAGGAUGUACUAUCUAAGAAAUUUGGGGUAGAAUAUUCCUAGAUGCUAUUUCUGGAUAUGCCUUAUAAGAAGAAAGAUAUGCUUUCAUCCUCAAACACAUUCGGAUUUUCAGAACCCUAAAAUAUACUCUAAAACAUUUAGUUGUUGUGUUCUUAAAAGAUGAUUUUUUCCUCUAAUUUUAACAAAACACUCAAAAACCUCCCUGAUAUUUAUGGUCUUCAUAAGUUGAAAAAUAUAAUUUGAAAGUGAAGAUUCUUGAUUUCUUUAGGGUAUACUGCUGUUAGCUGCUGUAGCUUUUGGGGUUUGGUUUUAUUUGGCCGUUGCUGUUUGAUUUCUGUUGCUGCUUCACUUUUUUCAAGCUUCAUCCACUUUUUGUUUUUCAUAUGUUAUUUUCUGAUUUUUGUUGUUUUUUGUACAAUGUACUGAAUCCAACUCUUCUUCAUAUAAUUCUUGUUAAAAUGAUAUAAAAUUGAAGCUGCAGAAUUCAAUUGAUGAAUGGAUGUCCAUGCUUCUCCAUAUUUCUCUAUUGAAUGAAUGUUUUUUGUUUAGUCCAUGUUUGAGUAUAUGUAUCUUUGUGUUUGUAUUAGAUUUUUGUUGUAUGCGUUAGUUUUUCCAAAUUUGGUCACAUUUGUUCUUCUAAAUUAAUAUUUUGAUAGACCUUGCCAUAAUCUAGCUGAUCCAACAUGUUACUUAGAGUUCCUCCUUUCCUUGUCUUUGAUGCUAUUCAUAAUGAUGAUAUCUUUGCUGAGGGACAUCUAUUUGAGAGAUGACAUUUCAGGUUGAAGCAAUAUUAAUGAUGUAAAUCUGACUACCAAUUGGUGAGAUCUAAUUCUGAAAAGUGCAAAUACAAUGAUAUUUGGAUACAAAGGUUCUAAGUGUGGCAAGAUGCGACAUCUAAAUUCUGUAGUUGACUAAGACUCAAUCAGAUUUGAAAGGUUGUAAUUAAUAAAAUCAUGUUCUGUUAAUGUAAUUAAAUAGGUUUCGUUUGAUUUGUGAUCCCUUCC